rnacentral:tRNA from 1 species
UCCCAGGUGGCUCAGACGGUAGAGUCCGCCUGCAAUGCAGGAGACCCAGGUUCGAUCCCUGGAUUGGGAA